AGCGAACGCUAGCGGCGGGCCUAACACAUGCAAGUCGAGCGCAUACCUUCGGGUAUGAGCGGCGGACGGGUGAGUAACGCGUAGGUCAUCUACCCUUUGGUGGGGGAUAACCCAGGGAAACUUGGGCUAAUACCGCACGAGGUCCACGGAUCAAAGCCUUCGGGCGCCAGAGGAUGAGCCUGCGUCGCAUUACCUAGUUGGCGGGGUAACGGCCCACCAAGGGGACGAUGCGUAGCUGGUCUGAGAGGAUGAUCAGCCACACUGGGACUGAGACACGGCCCAGACUCCUACGGGAGGCAGCAGUGGGGAAUAUUGCGCAAUGGGGGAAACCCUGACGCAGCCACGCCGCGUGGGUGAUGAAGGCCUCGGUUGUAAGACCCUGUCGGGAGGGACGGAAUUCUUGACGGUACCUCCAAAGAAAGCACCGGCUAACUCCGUGCCAGCAGCCG
rnacentral:rRNA from 1 species